rnacentral:lncRNA from 1 species
AUUGUGUGUUAUACACAGUUGUAAACAUUUUGCAUGUAUUUUCUCAUUUAAUCCUUCCAAAGCUUUAUCAGGCAGGUUCAAUAAUUAUCCCUAUUUUGCAUUCAGGAAACUGAGGCCAGAGAGAUGAAGUCGCUUGCUCAAGGUCUUGCAGCCGGCGUUUAGCUUCUCUGUUCUGCUUUGUCAAGACCCUGCUCGGUGUCGUAUGGGGCUCUCCUUCCCAACGUGCCUGUGGCCGGGUUCACACAAGUUGGGGUAGCCAUGGUUCUGAAAGCCUGGGGCCUUGGUCAAGACAGGACCAGUGGAGGUCAAGGAAGCUGUUUGUUGGGUCAGUCUGAUGGCAUAACUGAAUUCAUGAUCUACCGGGGUUAGGACGUAGACUUCUUUGGGAAGCCAUCCUUCAGCCCACCACACUGUGUUUUGUGGAUCAGAAGCUCAAGCAGGAGAGACACAGCAAGGCCUGACAUAUCCCGGCCUUCCAGGUCUUUUCCAGUGAGAAUCGUCAUCGUUGCCCUGGCAAUGUGGACACCUCGACAGUGAACCACGGUCCCACCGACU